CCGGCGCUAAAUGUAUUUUCUAAGAUUAGAAAUCCGAUUUACCUUAUCAGUGUCAGCCAUCUUCUCUUCUCCUUUUCGUCCAGAGGAAAGCGGUAGAAAGAUAUCGUUUUAUUUACAUCAUUUCUAUUGUUGCAACACGGGACACAACACAGCACCAUUAUAUCGUUGGUUUGGUAGGACACGGAAGUGACGUUUUUGGACACGAUGACGUAAUUACUAGCCAUCCCCAUUGCAAUCAGACAGGAGAUGCGCCAAACAGACGUCGCUGCUGUGUGGCCACAAUGUUGUCAAAAAAACAAAAAUCUGGUUACCAGAAGAGGAAGGAAAGGAAAGAGAGAGAGGAGAGAGAAAAGAAAGGCGUACGAUCUCUGAGCCAGUUUUUCAAUAAGAAAGCAGCUGAUGAUGAUGAGUCAGCAACACCCCUGUCUCCCCAUACCAUCACCCCUCCCUGCCCCAGUGAAGAAGAGCCAGGGCCCUCUCAUAUAGAACCAACAGUCGCAGCAGAGGAAGAAGAACAAGAACAAGGGAAAGAGAGACAGGUGGAAAAAUGUAGUGGAAAGGCAGAAAGUGUUGACCCAGGUUUGUGGCCAGCAAAUUUAACUGACAAAGACAGAGAAGCUAUUGUGAGGGCAUUGUCCACUC